GUCAUCCCCUCCUGAUAUUCAGGGAUUUCCUGGGACAACAAGAGACUGCACCUGCCGGAUGAAUUCACUCAGGGGCAGGAAAGCUGGGCUGGGAGCUCUAGCGGGCGUUGCCUGACUACCUCACUGUCUGCUCUCUGAGGGAUGUUUCCUGGAACAAGUGGUUGCGCCCACCAGCUAAGUUCAGGCAUACGUGGGGCUGCUGGCCUGGAAGCUGGCGCUGAACCCUGUGCAUGUGUAGGGUGGAGGGGCGGCUGGCGGCUGGAGGGAGGGGAACAAUCCUGCUGCUCCUGGGCACUGUGACUGCAGUCUCUACUGGGGAGAUGGCACUGGUGCCUCUGUUCCAGGGUCCAAGGCUUGUGGAGGUCCCCUUGGACUUGAGAGCUGCCGCUGCAACAUUUCCGGUGGCUCUCUGCCUCAGUUUAGAAGCUGGGGGGAGGGUGCAGGGAGGCCGGCGGGGGGAAGGGGGGCGGUGGUGGGGGUCUUCCAUUCGCAACCUUACACAGGUUCCCGCGGAGAGUGUGAAGCCCUCAGGGGCCUCUUACUCACUCACCCUUUCCUGUGUUGGGGAGCUUCUCCUGGCUCCGCGUUUAUCCCAGACAGGCUGCUGCCCAGCUGCACUCCUCUCUGUUCUCUGUGUCGGCUUGCUGCCUUGAUCGAGUCCGACACGGUUUCUUAGAUAUCAGCUUGUAGGGUCAGUGUUCACCAGCCCUUUGUCUCCUCCCUGUGAGAGCAGCGCGCAGGAGCUACUUCCAGGCCGCCAUCUUGACUCAACCCCUCUUAAUGAUUCCUGUGUCUCCGGCUUUUAGAACUGAAGCAGUUAUAAGAAUAUAGACAUAUUCCACUCAGUCGGAGUGUUCAUAAAGCGAUAUUAAGCACCAUACUAUAUCUCAGCAACAUGCAUAUGUUUGAAUGGAGUUCAUGAAAGGUAAGAGGAAAUAGGGUGGAAAUGAACCACUACCUCCUGAUCAUAGUGUUUGGUGUUAAGAAGCUUUAAGAUGUUAUGAAGCUUUAAGAACAUCUGUUUGGUGUUAUGAAGCUUUAAGAUGCUUCAGCUUAACCUAAUUUCCACUAUCUAGAGACAUUAAGAGUAUUUUAAACAAUAUUGAAAACCAGACACUUGAUUACUUCAUCAGAGGGGUUAAACAGUGACAAUCUGGAGGUGUACAAAUAAUGCCACUCCAUAAUUAUUGGACUGAGAUUGGUGUUGUAAUGCAAAUAAUAAGAUUAUAUCCUCGGUUAAAUUAUAUAAAGCAUGGUAACCUCCAUUAAAAUGUCACCAUAUCCACUCAUAUCACUAGUUUGAAAAUAUGUGUUUUCAAUUUGAUUACACAGAAUAUAUUUUAUUAUAAAAAUAAGUAAUAAAUUAGCCUAGAGAAAGGAAUAUUUUAUUAUUGGCACAAAGUCACAGUCAAGGAAUACUACUUCAUUAGUACUUAGUCAUCAAAUGUUUUAUGUUAUUUAAGACUCCCUUGAAAAUGCAAUGCAAUUGGUACAGAUUUUUACUUACUAAGUUAUAUAUAUCACCAUCCUGUAUAAAUAUUAACACAUUUCUGUAUUUUCUUUAGGCACUCUGUGCUAUAUGCAAAUGGAACAUAUUUUUCUCUCUUAAUAUUUGAUUCUUUCUGUUGUGGCAGACAGACCCUAAGGUUUUCAAUCUCUUGGUGUUAAAGCCUUUGUGUAAUCCCCUUCUUUAGAAUGUGAACUAGAUUUGUGACUUGCUUCUAACUAACAGAAUAUGACACACAUAAAGCAAUGUCACAUCUGUGAUUACAUUACACUGUGUAAAACUGUUCUGCUAGCUCUCCUUGUCCUGUUGAUCUUUAAGAAGCAAACUGAGAUGUUUUGGUGAGGGUCUGCUUACGAAAAAGGUUACGUGGCAGAAAAAAUAAAUGGCUAAGCACUAAAGGUGGCCUCCAUUUGACAACCUUUAUGGAUCCAGAGCCCUCAGCCACAGAGCUUCAAGAAAACAAAUUCUACCAACAGCCUACACGAGCUUGGAAGUGAGUUAUUUUGCCAUUUGAGACUCCAGAUAAAUACACACCUUUGAUAGCAGAUUGUGAGACCCAUAGUAUUUUUCUGUAUUAUGAAUAUAUAGUUACCACUGUUUCACCAAUGUGCUGUUUUUAGAAUCCUGCUAAACAAUAAACAAAAAUUAUUUUUAUUUGUGGCUAAUGAGCAAGAAAAUCUAUAAUACAAUCAAAUAGGUGUGUACUUGUUGAGUCAAAAGACAUGAAUUUGAAUAGAUAUCAUCAAAAUAGUCUCCCCAAAUUAGGAUUUAAUUUAUCCUUUUAUCAUAGUGCAAAGAAUUCAUGGUCCAAAGGAUAUUUAACCUCCACUACCUUAAGAACUCAAAGUUAGCACUGCCAACAGACAAUGGAUUUUAGAGACUGCCCUAGAUUCAUUGCCAAUGUUAUCUCUGAAAAUGAGAUUUAGCUCAUGACACAUAUAACACACCAUUCAUCUGCAUGAUUCAUUCUCCUUCAAAUAACUCAAUUUGGGGUGGGUUUAUUUGACUGACAAAGAAAAUAUCAUAGGCUUGUUGUUGAAUUACAAGUAAAGUUAGUAAAGUGAAUAUCUACCAUGAUUUGUUUCUUUAGUAAAUUGUAUUGCAAUGUUGUAUAUGCCCAAAGUAUAAAGUUCACCAAAAAAAGGCAAAUGUCCACCCUAUAUUAAUUUAUUCAUUUAUCUACCAAAGCAAUUCUAGACCUGUUCUAGCAUGUUAGUUAUAUAUAUAGACUUAGGUAUGCCCCAGAGUAUUACUGCUAUAAAGAACUACCUGAAACUGAGUAAUUUAUGAAGAAAGAGAUUUAAUUGGCUCACCGUUCCACAGGCUUAACAGGAAGCAUAACUGAGAGGCCUCAGGAAACUUACAGUCAUGGUGUAAGGUGGAGGGGAAGCAAGCACAUUCUUCACAUGGUGGCAGGAGAGAGAGAAAGAACGAGGGGGAAGUUCCAUACAGUUUUAAACCAUCAGAUCUCCUGAGACUAAACUCACUAUCAUGAGAACAGCAUGGCGAAAUCUGCCCUCAUAAUGCAGUCACUUCUCACCAGAUCCCUCCACCAACAUUGGGAGAUACAAUUCAACAUGAGAUUUGGAUGGGGACACAGAGCCAAACCAUAUCAGGUAUAUUUGCAAGAACACUUUACAGAAAAUAAAAAGGCCAAGAACAAUGCAUUGAAAAGUUACUGUAUCUGCGGAGGUAAAGGAGGCAAGCAUAAAGCAGUCUUUCUAGAAGUGCGCAUGAGAGGAUUAGCAGGGAGGUAGAAAAGAUGCCAGACCAAGGGGAGGAUAGCUUAUUUGUUUUUAUGUAUUUUGAAAAGUGAUACUCUUGUAUAAUUCAUAUGCUUAGACUAAAGUGUCCAUAGGCAGAGUGAAAUUAAAGGCAAAUAUAGAUUCAUAUGUGGAGAAAGGACCUGCUAGAAAUGAGAAGAUAAAUGUUUCAGGUGUAUAUAUCAAGAGGGAAAAGAAACUUCUUGUUUCAGGGGAAAGUUUACAGACAAAAAAAAGUAGAUAUAUUUUUAAAGUCCACACUUUCUGAGUUGAGAAUGGAAAUAGAAAAUGACACUCUGACAGAGAGAAAGGUAUACCUGCCCAGAGAUACAGAGAGCAUGCCAAACUUCAUGUAGGGCUAGGAUAUGUUGAAAAAUCAAACCUCAUGUUGAAAACUCAUCCCCAGUGUUAGAGAUGGGCCCUGGUGGGAGGUGUGUGGGUCAUGGGGAUACAUCAUUCAUGAGUCUUGACGCUGUCCUCACAAUAAUGAGGGAGUUCUCCCUCGGAGUUCACAUGAGAUCUCAUUGUCUAAAAGAGUGUGGCACCUCCCCGCUCUCUCUCUUGCUCCCCUCUUUCCACGUGAGACCGUGGCUCUCUCUUCACUUCCUGUGAUGAUUAUAAGCUCCCUGACACCCUCACCCAAAGCUGAGCAGAUGCCAGCACUAUUCUUGUAGAAGCCUGCAGAAUGUGAGCCAAUUAAAUGGCUUUUCUUUAUAAAUUUUCCAGCCUCUGUAUUUGUUUAUAGUGACACAAAUGGAAUAACACAGGCUAUUUUGUAUUUUUAUUUCUUUGGGCAUAACUGCUUUAUACUUACUCUUUUUCAGUUUUUUUUCUCCUGAAGAACUUUCAUUUACUACAUAAAAUAGGAACAGGCAUUAUUUCCUCAGAAAAAUCCUUCUUCUCUUUUUUUUUGUAACAUUAAGUAAGAUAGAUCCCACUCCAUGUUUGUUCUCUUUUUCACAAUGCUGUAUAUAUCUACUCAUAUAUGCAUAUAUUUUGGUAUAUAUAACUGUCUACAUUUUGAAAAAUACUUUGGAAAAAUAUUAUGGAAGUUUCACAAAAAAAGAAAAAUAGAAUUACCAUCUAAUCCAGCAAUCCCGUUUUUGGGUAUAUUCAAAUGAAUUGAAAUAAGUAUGGUGAAGAGAUGUUUGCACUCCUAUAUUCACUCCAGUAUUAUUCACAGUAGGCAAUAUUUGGAAGAAACAUAAGUAUCCAUCAGCAGAUAAAUACAUUUUUAAAAUGUGAUACACACAGAAACACAUAGAUACACACACACACACAAACACAGAGAGACAGAGAGAGCAUGGAAUUCUAUUAAGCUUUUAAGGUUUGCAACAAAAUAAGCAAAUCUGGAGGAUAUUAUGCUAAGUAAAAUAAGCCAAACACAGAAAAACAAUUAUCACAUGAUCUCACUUAUAUGCAGAAUUAAAAAUUUGAAUUCAUAAAUGCAGAGAGUAGAUUUGUGGUUACCAGAGCCUGAGGGAUGAGGAGGACAUGGAUGGGAAAAGGGAAAAUUUUGUUCAAAAGACACAAAUUUCAGUUAAAUGAGAGGAAUAACUUCUGGUGAUCUAUUGCGCAGUGAAGGGACUAGAGUUGAUAUUUAUGUAUUAUAUAUUUCAAAGUUGCUGAGAGGAGAUUUUAAAAGUUUUCUCACUGCAAAAAACAAUGGUAAAUAUGUGAGAUAAUAAAUAUGUUAAAUUUGUUAGCUUGAUAUGGUCAUUCCACAGUGCAUCAAUUUAUUGAAGCAUCACAUGCCACACCGUAAAUAAGUAAAACCAUUUUUUGUUAAUUAAAAGUAAAUUGCUUAAAAUGUGAAAACUGCUUGACCCUUUAAUGUUUUGCAGCCUACAUUGUAGAAAUAAUCUAAGGUAUUACUGAUAGGUGUUAUCUAACUUAUGUAUAUAUUUUACUGUAAGAGAAAGACAGUUACCCAUAGAAAAAAACAACACUGAACUUGGGAAGACUUCAACCUCUUCACUCUCCAACCUCCACUCCCUUCAGAGGUAGAAUUUUUCUGAAAGGAUCAGGAAAAUGUAUUUUCUCUGCACAAUUUUCUCUCCAAGAAAAGCAUACUAAGAAUGUUUGCUUCUUAUACUCCACAUAGCCAUCAUCUACCACAGUCAUUCAUCUGGACUUCAAGUCUGCCCUGCUGGGAAGUAGGUCACCACCUCUACACUGGGCCACUGUCAAGAUCCAAAAUGUGCUAAAACUUAGUCACCACUCUAUUUGGUAGCAAUCCAAAGUGGACCAAAACAUUUCCUAAGUAAUACCAAGGUCAAAAAUAUAAUGUCGAUAUGUCAAAUUUUGAUCUCUGUGAGUGGAUACUAGUAAAUGGAGAGUUGUUAUGAGUAGGAUGAGAGGAAAGUUGUUGGUUGUUUCAUAAAAGCAAAGAAAAUUAAGGAAAUAAAAGUAAGCCAUCAACAAGUACAUGUCCAGCAUUAGGAGACAUACCUAAUGUAAAUGACAAGUUAAUGGGUGCAGCACACCAACAUGGCGCAUGUAUAC
rnacentral:lncRNA from 10 species